CAUGCACUGGUGGAGUCCCUCGGCCUGGCCUGCUCCCUCUCACAAUCCGGGACCCCUCAGGGGAUGACUGAGAGCUGGUUUUGGCCCGAUCCCCACAGGCCAGGCCGAGGGACUCCACCGGUGCACG
rfam:Myotis brandtii contig302317, whole genome shotgun sequence.